rnacentral:rRNA from 1 species
AGCUUGACACUGAACAUUGAGCCUUGAUGUGUAGGAUAGGUGGGAGGCUUUGAAGCGUGGACGCCAGUCUGCGUGGAGCCGACUUGAAUACCACCCUUUAAUGUUUGAUGUUCUAACCUGGCGCCGUGAUCCGGCGUGGGGACAGUGUCUGGUGGGUAGUUUGACUGGGGCGGUCUCCUCCCAAAGUGUAACGGAGGAGCACGAAGGUC